AUGACCAUGAUUGGAUUGCGACUGUGC
rnacentral:sRNA from 1 species